rnacentral:sRNA from 1 species
UUGUCACUUUGAAUUAUUUUCAGAGUUUACUGUCUGCUCGAGUGCCGCUGAUGUACUCUUAAUCCUGGACUCCUCUGGAAGUAUCGGAUCUUACGACUACGCCAUUCUGUCCAACUUCUCAGCAGAACUGUCCAAAGGCUUUCGGAUUGGCCCUGACAAAAUCCAAUUCAGUGCCAUCCUCAUCGAAAGCAGCGCCCGGAACGUCUUCAAUUUCAACACGUACAACAACAACGCCGAUGUUGCUCAGGCCCUACUGAAAAUUCCGUACAUCUCCGGCGGCACAAACACAGCCGAUUCCUUGAACUAUGCAAGGACGACUUCCUUCAGCACAGCCCACGGAGCCAGACCCAAUGUCGGCAAGGUCGCUGUGGUCAUCACAGACGGAAACUCAAACGAUCCACUCCUGACUGCCCAAGCUGCUGCGGCCCUCCAGCAAAGCGGCGUGACCACCAUUGCUGUGGGGGUCGGUAGCUCCAUUUCACAAUCUGAGCUCCUGGCCAUAGCCUCGUCUCCUAGCAACGUUUUCAAUGUCACAGACUUCUCUGUGCUGGACGCUAUUAAGAAGGGUCUUGUCCAGACAGCAUGUCACAGUACAGGUAAGGAGCAAUGGGAA